UACGGAGGGGGCUAGCGUUGUUCGGAAUUACUGGGCGUAAAGCGCACGUAGGCGGCUUUGCAAGUCAGAUGUGAAAGCCCCGGGCUCAACCUGGGAAUGGCAUUUGAUACUCUGAGGCUGGAGUACGGGAGAGGAGAGUGGAAUUCCCAGUGUAGAGGUGAAAUUCGUAGAUAUUGGGAAGAACACCGGUGGCGAAGGCGGCUCUCUGGACCGUAACUGACGCUGAGACACGAAAGCGUGGGUAGCAAACAGG
rnacentral:rRNA from 1 species